GCAAAGAUUUCCAAAAAGUACUGCUUCUAGAAUAAUCUAGAUGACUCAAAAGUCCAAGUUUGCAACAUCGAUCCAAUUGAAUUUUGAUGUUCUCCAACUCGCUACUCUAUGACCCAAAAUUCAACAAGCGCGAGGUUGCCACCCCUGGUAUAUAAAGCCAGGUCCGCCGCCGCCGCCGCAUAGGCCAAAGAUAGAAUGAUCUUGAAGUGAUAAUACUCCGUAAAAGGAAAAUUUCAAUUAAUUGGUUGGAGAGAGAGGAGGAGGAGGAGGAAGAAGAUGGAGAGAAAGGAGGAAGAAAGGGUGUGCGUGACAGGAGCUGGAGGGUACAUCUCAUCAUGGGUAGUGAAGUUACUACUCUCGAAGGGUUAUGUAGUUCAUGGAACUGUUAGAGAUCCCCGUGAUGAAAAAAAGAAUGGUCAUUUGAAGAAAUUGGAGAAAGCUUCAGAGAAUCUGCAUCUCUUUAAGGCAGACUUGUUUGACUAUGAAGGUCUCUACGCUGCCAUUGCUGGAUGCACGGGGGUUCUUCAUGUUGCCUCUCCAGUCCCCUCCGACAAUCCAUCUAUCAAUCCUGAGGUAGAACUGGUUGAACCAGCUAUAACAGGGACUCAGAAUGUACUGAAUGCAUGUUUGAAGGCUAGAGUGAAGAAGGUCGUGGUGGUGUCAUCUGUUGCUGCUGUUAUGGUCAACCCUAAUUGGCCUAAGGGUCAGCCCAUGGAUGAAAAUAGUUGGAGUGACACGGAAUUUUGCAAAUCAGCUAAGAUGUGGUAUCCCUUUGGCAAAACCAUAGCAGAAAGUGAGACAUUGGAGUUUGGGAUAAGAAAUGAACUCAACAUUGUCACAAUUUGUCCUUCCCUUGUUAUCGGGCCAAAUCUGCAAUCAUCAUUGAAUCUCAGCAGCUCAAUCCUCCUAAGUUACUUGAAAGGUGAAAUCAAUACAAUGAAUUGUCGAGUUCAGCAAUUAGUGGAUGUGCGUGAUUUUGCUGAAGCGCUUCUGCUACUGUAUGAGAAGCCUGAGGCGGAGGGAAGAUACAUAUGUUCAUCAUACACGAUCCGACCAGAGGUUUUGGUGGAAAAACUAAAGGCAAUGUUUCCCCACUACAAUUACCCCGAAAUUUUUAUAGAGGAAAAAGGAGGCCCAUUUGAUUUCAAUUGCAAGAAGUUGCUGGAUUUUGGAUGGAAGUAUAGGCCAUUAGAGGAGAGUAUAGUUGAUGCCGUGAAGAAUUUUGAAGAAAGUGGUCUCUUGGUUGGUAAAUAAAACUAAGAGGCUGGGGCUGGCGGACAGGUUCUCAGGCUGGAGAGUUCCUGCAUUUCUUUGCAAUGUACGUGAUGGUCUAUCAUCUGCUAGGCUUACGGAUUGAUAUACCAAGGUCAGUUUGCUUGACUGCUUGUGCUGCUGGUGGGUGGGGUAUGCCCUGCUUAUAUUUUAUACAACGUUUGAGGUGCACACAAACGCUAACCAUUCGAAGAUUGCCAAGAUUGUAAUGACGAAUGGUUGCAUGCUGCUUGAUUCUUUUGAUGUCGAUCAUGGCUCUUUUGAUGGUUUACAUGAAGCUCAACCAAGCCAAAUGAAGCAGAUAUGACCAUGGGAGGCUGCACUAGUAGAAUUACAUUGCUGUGGUGGUACCAAACACCCUUCUUCCUUGUUAUGGACAUUCCAAACACAAACACUCCACUCGAGUGGAAGUAACUUUUUACUUUUUUUUGGUAGUUUCCCUUUGGCGUGGGGUAUUCCUUGUUGCAAAAGAUGUUGAUGCUCAUUCAAUAAAAUCUCUCAUGUUUGCAA